GGUUAAGCGACUAAGCGUACACGGUGGAUGCCCUGGCAGUCAGAGGCGAUGAAGGACGUGCUAAUCUGCGAUAAGCGUCGGUAAGGUGAUAUGAACCGUUAUAACCGGCGAUUUCCGAAUGGGGAAACCCAGUGUGAUUCGUCACACUAUCAUUAACUGAAUCCAUAGGUUAAUGAGGCGAACCGGGGGAACUGAAACAUCUAAGUACCCCGAGGAAAAGAAAUCAACCGAGAUUCCCCCAGUAGCGGCGAGCGAACGGGGAGCAGCCCAGAGCCUGAAUCAGUGUGUGUGUUAGUGGAAGCGUCUGGAAAGGCGCGCGAUACAGGGUGACAGCCCCGUACACAAAAAUGCACAUGCUGUGAGCUCGAUGAGUAGGGCGGGACACGUGGUAUCCUGUCUGAAUAUGGGGGGACCAUCCUCCAAGGCUAAAUACUCCUGACUGACCGAUAGUGAACCAGUACCGUGAGGGAAAGGCGAAAAGAACCCCGGCGAGGGGAGUGAAAAAGAACCUGAAACCGUGUACGUACAAGCAGUGGGAGCACAGAGCAAUCUGUGUGACUGCGUACCUUUUGUAUAAUGGGUCAGCGACUUAUAUUCUGUAGCAAGGUUAACCGAAUAGGGGAGCCGAAGGGAAACCGAGUCUUAACUGGGCGUUAAGUUGCAGGGUAUAGACCCGAAACCCGGUGAUCUAGCCAUGGGCAGGUUGAAGGUUGGGUAACACUAACUGGAGGACCGAACCGACUAAUGUUGAAAAAUUAGCGGAUGACUUGUGGCUGGGGGUGAAAGGCCAAUCAAACCGGGAGAUAGCUGGUUCUCCCCGAAAGCUAUUUAGGUAGCGCCUCGUGAAUUCAUCUCCGGGGGUAGAGCACUGUUUCGGCAAGGGGGUCAUCCCGACUUACCAACCCGAUGCAAACUGCGAAUACCGGAGAAUGUUAUCACGGGAGACACACGGCGGGUGCUAACGUCCGUCGUGAAGAGGGAAACAACCCAGACCGCCAGCUAAGGUCCCAAAGUCAUGGUUAAGUGGGAAACGAUGUGGGAAGGCCCAGACAGCCAGGAUGUUGGCUUAGAAGCAGCCAUCAUUUAAAGAAAGCGUAAUAGCUCACUGGUCGAGUCGGCCUGCGCGGAAGAUGUAACGGGGCUAAACCAUGCACCGAAGCUGCGGCAGCGACACUGUGUGUUGUUGGGUAGGGGAGCGUUCUGUAAGCCUGCGAAGGUGUGCUGUGAGGCAUGCUGGAGGUAUCAGAAGUGCGAAUGCUGACAUAAGUAACGAUAAAGCGGGUGAAAAGCCCGCUCGCCGGAAGACCAAGGGUUCCUGUCCAACGUUAAUCGGGGCAGGGUGAGUCGACCCCUAAGGCGAGGCCGAAAGGCGUAGUCGAUGGGAAACAGGUUAAUAUUCCUGUACUUGGUGUUACUGCGAAGGGGGGACGGAGAAGGCUAUGUUGGCCGGGCGACGGUUGUCCCGGUUUAAGCGUGUAGGCUGGUUUUCCAGGCAAAUCCGGAAAAUCAAGGCUGAGGCGUGAUGACGAGGCACUACGGUGCUGAAGCAACAAAUGCCCUGCUUCCAGGAAAAGCCUCUAAGCAUCAGGUAACAUCAAAUCGUACCCCAAACCGACACAGGUGGUCAGGUAGAGAAUACCAAGGCGCUUGAGAGAACUCGGGUGAAGGAACUAGGCAAAAUGGUGCCGUAACUUCGGGAGAAGGCACGCUGAUAUGUAGGUGAAGUCCCUCGCGGAUGGAGCUGAAAUCAGUCGAAGAUACCAGCUGGCUGCAACUGUUUAUUAAAAACACAGCACUGUGCAAACACGAAAGUGGACGUAUACGGUGUGACGCCUGCCCGGUGCCGGAAGGUUAAUUGAUGGGGUCAGCGCAAGCGAAGCUCUUGAUCGAAGCCCCGGUAAACGGCGGCCGUAACUAUAACGGUCCUAAGGUAGCGAAAUUCCUUGUCGGGUAAGUUCCGACCUGCACGAAUGGCGUAAUGAUGGCCAGGCUGUCUCCACCCGAGACUCAGUGAAAUUGAACUCGCUGUGAAGAUGCAGUGUACCCGCGGCAAGACGGAAAGACCCCGUGAACCUUUACUAUAGCUUGACACUGAACAUUGAGCCUUGAUGUGUAGGAUAGGUGGGAGGCUUUGAAGUGUGGACGCCAGUCUGCAUGGAGCCGACCUUGAAAUACCACCCUUUAAUGUUUGAUGUUCUAACGUUGACCCGUGAUCCGGGUUGCGGACAGUGUCUGGUGGGUAGUUUGACUGGGGCGGUCUCCUCCUAAAGAGUAACGGAGGAGCACGAAGGUUGGCUAAUCCUGGUCGGACAUCAGGAGGUUAGUGCAAUGGCAUAAGCCAGCUUGACUGCGAGCGUGACGGCGCGAGCAGGUGCGAAAGCAGGUCAUAGUGAUCCGGUGGUUCUGAAUGGAAGGGCCAUCGCUCAACGGAUAAAAGGUACUCCGGGGAUAACAGGCUGAUACCGCCCAAGAGUUCAUAUCGACGGCGGUGUUUGGCACCUCGAUGUCGGCUCAUCACAUCCUGGGGCUGAAGUAGGUCCCAAGGGUAUGGCUGUUCGCCAUUUAAAGUGGUACGCGAGCUGGGUUUAGAACGUCGUGAGACAGUUCGGUCCCUAUCUGCCGUGGGCGCUGGAGAACUGAGGGGGGCUGCUCCUAGUACGAGAGGACCGGAGUGGACGCAUCACUGGUGUUCGGGUUGUCAUGCCAAUGGCACUGCCCGGUAGCUAAAUGCGGAAGAGAUAAGUGCUGAAAGCAUCUAAGCACGAAACUUGCCCCGAGAUGAGUUCUCCCUGACCCUUUAAGGGUCCUGAAGGAACGUUGAAGACGACGACGUUGAUAGGCCGGGUGUGUAAGCGCAGCGAUGCGUUGAGCUAACCGGUACUAAUGAACCGUGAGGCUUAACCUU
rnacentral:rRNA from 1 species